ensembl:snRNA U6 U6 spliceosomal RNA
GCUUUUUAAAUAUCACAUGUACUAAAAUUGGAACGAUACAGAGAAGAUUAGCAUGGCCCCUGUGCAAGGAUGACACGCAAAUUCGUGAAGCAUUCCAUAUUUUU